UAGCAUUCAAUUUAUGCAUGAUAAUUAAGCGUGCACUCUCAACCAACACACACAAAUCAAUGUAAUUCUCAUAGAUAAGUAAAUUGAAUUCACAACUUAUGAAACGCAAUUAGAAGUAAUCAAAUCAUAUCGCAAGCAUAAACAUGUAUUUCGAAUCCCCCCCUAGCCAAGGGGGAGUUUAGUUCCUCAUACACACAAAACAAAGAGAAUUGAAUUUAAACAUUGAAAUCAAAGGAAAAGAAACACCUAGAAAUUCCAGCGACUCGAACUUGAAUUGCAUGAACUUCCAAGCUUCCUUCUCCUCUUCCUUGGUGCGGCAAAGGGUCUAGGGACAGGUUUAGGGCCUUAGGUGUAUGGAUGAAUGGUUAUGGAAGGAUGUAGUAGUGUUUAGGGGAAGGGGAUGGUGCGGCAAGAACUUAAAAACUAGGGAGAAGGGUGUUUGGUGGCUGCGGCAAAGGUGUGGAGAGGUUUGGGCGAAUUUCUGAUUUUGUGGAGUGAAUUAUGAAUGUGAGAGGUGGUGAAUUCGGCCAAGGGGGUUUAUGAAUAUUUAUAGGCACUUAAAACCCUAGGUAAAUCAGAUAUGGACUUGAAUAACCCAAAUCCACAAGGAAAGAGGCUUAAAAAUCAGAAUUAAAAGGGGAAAAGACCUCCUAGGUGCGGCAGGUUUAGAUAAGGUAAGAUAAGGCUUCUAGAAAGCCUUGCAAGGCAAGGAAAUAGGUUCUAGAUAAGGUUAUGCACGGCAAGGAAGGAUAGGGUUUCUAGAAACCCUCCAAAACAAGGGAAAAUGCACGGCAUACUUCUAAGACAAGGAUAAGGUGUCCUAAAGUAUUUGGGACUCCUCUUUCUUCUUGGAAACCUUCUCCUUCUUCAACUUGGAAUACUUCUUUGUUACUGAAAAUCAAGGCCAAUUAGGGUUCACUUUCCCACUUCAAGUAGGAAACCUUGUUUGAGUAGGAAACUUCAUUCGUCUAGGAAUCCAUCUUCAACUAGGAAUCCUUGAUUGAUUAGGACACCUUCUUGGACUAGGAUUUCAUCUUCAAUUUGGCUCUUUCCUACUCCAACUAGGAAUCCUUGUUCAAGUAGGAAUCAUCAUCUUCAAAUCUUCAUUUUCGUCCAAACCCUUGGCUCCAAAUAUGUGAUAUCCAAUCCAAGCUCCAUUUUGCUCCAAAAGGCUCCAAAUUGCUUCUUUUUAUGUAAUAUGCCUUUAAAACCUGAAAACACAAGAAACUAGCUUAAAAGACUACUUUACUAAGGAAAAACACUAUAAAUGCACAAGAACAAGCUAAACUAAGGCGCAUAAAUAUGCUCCUAACACUUGUUCUCGUGCAUUUAUGUUAUGUUUCGUUAGCUAUUUUAGUGUUUAAAGUUACUUUUGUGUGUUUUCAGAUUCUAGAGGCAAAGUAUGCAUUUUGGAGCCCUUUGGAGCCUUUUGGAGCAAAAGGAAUGGAUGAAUUGAAGACUUGAAGAAAUUAGGAUUCCUAAUCAACGAAGGAUUCCUAAUUGAAGAUGGAUUCCUAAUCACAUGAGGAUUUCUAGAAGAACAAGGAUUCCUACUCCAAGAAGGAUUCCUACUUGAAAUAGGAAAGUUAAGCCAAGGUUUCCUACUUUGGUUUGACCUUUCCUAAAUGUUCCUAAGUUUUAUCAACUUUGAAGGCAUCCUAUGCAUUCUAGGACAUCAAAUACACAUACCUUGCACAUUGUGAACCCUUGCCGCACCCCCUUUCUGA
rnacentral:lncRNA from 1 species